UCUCUUUCUUCAGAUGAUGAUCCCAAGCCUUCUGGCGGUCUGUAUAUAUUAAGCCUUUUGAUGGUUAUAAAAGAGGUUUUUGCAGAUCAGAUUAUGCCGGAGAAGGUUUUCCGGUUUACCCCGGAGGGCUUGUAGCUCAGUUGGUUAGAGCGCGCGCUUGAUAAGCGUGAGGUCGGAGGUUCAAGUCCUCCCAGGCCCACCAUUUAUAACGGCUUGUAAGCGGCUUAUAGAAGGAUAUAGAUCAUAGAUCUAUUUUGCCAGGAUCCUAUAAUUGAAUUGUGAUUUUUUUAAGUAACUUACGUAGCUUAUGGAGUGCAUUGAAUUUUGUGGCUCUUCUUUUGAGAGGUUUUAAGCCUUUUUCAAGAGUUGAGGCACGGAGCAUUGAGGGGCCGUAGCUCAGCUGGGAGAGCACCUGCUUUGCAAGCAGGGGGUCGUCGGUUCGAUCCCGUCCGGCUCCACCACUUAGGUCAUCAUCGUUGUUAAAGGAACAAAGUUUGCAGGAGGAUUAUAGUCCUCUUUGCGUGUUCUAUUGAAAUUGU
rnacentral:tRNA from 1 species